rnacentral:lncRNA from 1 species
UGUAGUGGUAUAGAUGAGUUACUAGCCAAAAUUCCAACCUACUAGUGAUCACAUACAACAUUUGUACAAUAUAUCUCUGAAAGUUUGGGAUCAGCAGAAAUCAGCAUAUUCACUUGCUCAGUGUUAUCAUCUGCAAUAGCUUCCUGGAUCCCCUGUUCUUGUCUUACAAAUCGUUGUCCAGUUGGGUUCCAUUUUUGAACAACUUUUUUGCCCUUGUCUCCUCCUCUAUUUUCGUUCUCAUGUGAUUCUGCAUUUCCUCUUGUCUCAGCGGUUGAACAAUUCCCUUUCUAGUGUCUUCUUUACAAACAUGGCCAUAUUCAACACACUUCUUACAAUAGGCAGGUUUCCAGUCAUACUCCACCUUCUGAGUGAAAACCCUUCCUGACGGCUCUAUUAUCUCGACAACAGUAGGUAACUCUUGUGUAGUAUCCAUAUCCACUAAG